UGCUAUGGCCAUACCACCCUAAACAUACCCAAUUCCAUCUGAUCUUGGAACCUAAAGCAGAGUUGGGCCUGGUUAGUACUUGGAUGGGAGACCACCUAGGAAGACCAGGGGCUGUAGGCA
rnacentral:rRNA from 1 species